rnacentral:lncRNA from 1 species
GCAAGACGGACUCGUGGAGACGCGCCGCCGCCGCCGCCGCCGGGCCGGGCCGGGUGUCGCGCGCCGAGGUGACUGAGGAGAGAGGCGCCUCCUCGCUCCCGCCACCGCCGGACUUCAAUGCCCAGUCCCCAGCUCGCCAGCGUUUUUCGUUGGAAUAUACGUUGCACAUUUAUGGCGAUUCUGAGUGUGAGGGCAGACUUCUGCCAGGCUCAGCACAGCAUUUUCGCUGACAAGUGAGCUUGGAGGUUCUAUGUGCCAUAAUUAACAUUGCCUUGAAGACUCCUGGACACCGAGACUGGCCUCAGAAAUAGUUGGCUUUUUUUUUUUUUAAUUGCAAGCAUAUUUCUUUUAAUGACUCCAGUAAAAUUAAGCAUCA